rnacentral:rRNA from 1 species
AGAAUCAACGCUGGCGGCGUGCCUAACACAUGCAAGUCGCACGAGAAAGGGGAGCAAUCCCUGAGUAAAGUGGCGCACGGGUGAGUAACACGUGAAUAAUCUACCUCCGAGUGGGGAAUAACUGAGAGAAAUCUUAGCUAAUACCGCAUAACACUUACGAGUCAAAGCAGCAAUGCGCUUGGAGAGGAGUUCGCGGCCGAUUAGUUAGUUGGCGGGGUAAUGGCCCACCAAGACGAUGAUCGGUAUCCGGCCUGAGAGGGCGCACGGACACACUGGAACUGAAACACGGUCCAGACUCCUACGGAGGCAGCAGUGGGGAAUUUUGCGCAAUGGGGGAAACCCUGACGCAGCAACGCCGCGUGGAGGAUGAAGCCCCUUGGGGUGUAAACUCCUUUCGAUCGGGAAGAUAAUGACGGUACCGAUAUAAGAAGCCCGGCUAACUUCGUGCCAGCAGCCGC